AUGUGUGACUCCUGGGAACAGAUGGCAUGGCGGCCGGACACUAUGGGCAAGGCUGGGUUGGGACUCUGGGGUCUUGGGGAGGGCGUAAGGAGGUGGCCCACUCUGGUGUCAGCUUGCACAGACUCUAAGUUGCUUCUCUACCCUUUCAGAGGAGGAAGAGCUGAUAACCAGUGGGACCACUUUCCGCCACAGACUUUGGAUUCAACAAUUCAGUUUCCAGAACUUCAUAGGAUGUCUGGGCCACAGUCAGGCUUCCUUGGGGCUGCUGCUUUUCCAUCUCGUGCUCUUCAUUGGGCUUCUGGUGGCCAUCCUCUUCCAAGGUCAGGUACAGAUGUCCAAGGUCAAGGACUCCCAGGGUGCAGACAUUGCCUGGGUGGGGGGCUAGUUCCCAGAAAGAGAUAGGGCUAAAAGCCAAGAUUUGGGUCCUCUACCUGGAGGACCUGGUCAGCUGCCCUGCUUGGUGGCCUCUCCCACAGUCCCUCCCCACUCUGCUGCAGGGGAGGAGGGGGAGGGGGAGGAACAAGAGGACUCCUGACUCUUGAUCUCUGGUGCAGAUUUCAUCCACCGUCUUCCUCAUCUUCAGAAAGGAUUAACCAAGAUCUUGACUGAGCAACAAUGUCUCCAAGGGCCUUGUGCAGGGCAUGCACACAGCAGAUGUUUAAUAACCACAGAUUUUUUUUUUGGCACAAUCUUCAGGGUCCCAGGUCCCAGAAGCUAGAGCCUUUGAAGCAGGAGAUCCAUGAAGAACUGACCCAGCUGAAGGCUGGACUUGGUGACCGGCCAGGCACCAGGGUCCUGGGGGUUCUGGAAGGGUCUCUGGUGUGCUGUGGGUGUGGUGGGACUCUGCUUGAGUCACCGUCCCUCUCUCAGUUAGGAACACAGAGUGACAAGGAUGAUUCCCCUUGGUAUUCCCAGGGGCACACAGUAGGCACUAAAUUAAACCAGUCUCUCAUUCUGAGCUCCCUACUUCUCCCAGUCUGGAGGAUAUGGGGCCGGGACUCCUAGUUCUCCUGGGCUUGGGGGAGGGUAGCAAGUGGGGGAGGGGGACGAGCUGUUGGGCAUGGAGAACCAAGGAGGGCCCCCCCCCGACCCUCAGGGGAUUGAAGAGUGGGCAGACGUGGGGUUAGGGGCAUCUCAAGCUGAGUCCCAGCCCUGCCACCUGCCCCAUCCUUGGGAGCGGACAUUCUUCCGAGGCAACUGUUACUCCUUCAGCUCCUAACAGAACUAACAUGACUCUGUCGCUGCCUGCCAGGAAGUGGGGGCCCGACUCGUUACCGAAAGUGCCGGGGAGCAGGUGCAUCUGUCCAGGGAGUCAGCCUGACCUGGGGCAAGCCCCUGGCCACUGGUCCACUGGGCACAAGAGAGCCAGAUGAGAUUUUCUGGAAGAGAGACUGCCUGCCUCAUGUGGGGGGGGGGGGGGGGAAGAACCAGGCAUCCNAGAACCAGGCAUCCUGCAAGGAGGUACAAAUGAGAUCUGGACACCUGGGUCUGGGGGACACGUAAAACAUAAAUAAGCUCUGGUGGUGUCCUGACAAAUGGCUAACACUUAGCUCUCUGGAGGGAGGGGGGGAUAAGUCCUGAUUUGGAGUGUUGGCCAGUUUCCCUGGCGUACGUACUGCCACUGUGGCUGAUCUCAAGCCAUUCACAUGAUGCCGUCACUGCGGAGCUGACAAGAUACGCGGUGGGGACCUGGCUUGAUUUGACUCCAGCACGUCAAACCCAGGCGUGAGUCAACGCAUGGGUACAUGCUUGGCACAUGUAAGAACACACAAACAUGCAGUAUUACCAGGUGUGUGUGGUGAGAGACCAGUUGUGUGCAUGUGUCUGCAAGUCGGAACAUACGUGCUCAUAGGAUACAGAUGUGAGAGGCGCUCGGGACCUGGCCUGGCAGGAGGCGUAAGGUCCCACUGAAAGACGAGCUUGCUGCCAGGAAACUGGAGAGAUGCUGAGCCCAGAAAGUGGGGGUCAGAGCCCCCUCCUGACUUCCCUACGUCCACCAGAACUUCCUACAGCUGCAGACUUCCAAGAGAAGCUGCUUCACCUGGGAGACUGGGUGGCUCAGUUGGUUAAGCAGCUGCCUUCGGCUCAGGCCAUGGUCCUGGGGUCCCGGGAUUGAGUCCCACGUCAGGCUCCCUGCUCAGUGAGGAGUCCACUUCUCUCUCUGCCUCUCUCCCCACUCGUGCUCUCUCUCUCUCUAAUAAAUAAAUAAAAUCUUAAAAAGGAAGGAAAAAA
rnacentral:lncRNA from 1 species